GUCGAGAGGCUUUGGCAAUGGGGGAAACCCUGACCAAGCGACGCCGCGUGGAGGAUGAAGGCCCUUGGGUUGUAAACUCCUUUUGUCGGGGAAGAAGUGCGAUCAGGUGAACAAUCUGGUCGUUUGACGGUACUCGGCGAAUAAGCUCCGGCUAACUCCGUGCCAGCAGCCGCGGUAACACGGGGGGAGCAAGCGUUGUUCGGAAUCACUGGGCGUAAAGGGCGUGUAGGCGGUCCGGUAAGUGGGAUGUGAAAUCCCCCGGCUCACCCGGGGGCGUGCAUCCCAAACUGCCGGGCUUGAGUACGGGAGAGGAUGAGGGAAUUCCUGGUGUAGCGGUGAAAUGCGUAGAUAUCAGGAGGAACACCGGUGGCGAAGGCGCUCAUCUGGCCCGAUACUGACGCUGAGGCGCGAAAGCUAGGGGAGCGAACGGGAUUAGAUACCCUAGUAGUCC
rnacentral:rRNA from 1 species